rnacentral:rRNA from 1 species
UACGUAGGGUGCAAGCGUUAAUCGGAAUUACUGGGCGUAAAGCGUGCGCAGGCGGUUUUGUAAGACAGGUGUGAAAUCCCCGGGCUUAACCUGGGAACUGCAUUUGUGACUGCAAGGCUGGAGUGCGGCAGAGGGGGAUGGAAUUCCGCGUGUAGCAGUGAAAUGCGUAGAUAUGCGGAGGAACACCGAUGGCGAGGGCAAUCCCCUGGGCCUGCACUGACGCUCAUGCACGAAAGCGUGGGGAGCAAACAGG